CCUACGGGUGGCUGCAGUGGGGAAUAUUGCACAAUGGGCGCAAGCCUGAUGCAGCCAUGCCGCGUGUGUGAAGAAGGCCUUCGGGUUGUAAAGCACUUUCAGCGGGGAGGAAGGCGUUAAGGUUAAUAACCUUGUCGAUUGACGUUACCCGCAGAAGAAGCACCGGCUAACUCCGUGCCAGCAGCCGCGGUAAUACGGAGGGUGCAAGCGUUAAUCGGAAUUACUGGGCGUAAAGCGCACGCAGGCGGUCUGUCAAGUCGGAUGUGAAAUCCCCGGGCUCAACCUGGGAACUGCAUUCGAAACUGGCAGGCUAGAGUCUUGUAGAGGGGGGUAGAAGUCCAGGUGUAGCGGUGAAAUGCGUAGAGAUCUGGAGGAAUACCGGUGGCGAAGGCGGCCCCCUGGACAAAGACUGACGCUCAGGUGCGAAAGCGUGGGGAGCAAACAGGAUUAGAUACCCUUGUAGUC
rnacentral:rRNA from 1 species